ACACGCUGGCGGCGUGCCUAAUACAUGCAAGUCGAGCGGGCUUAUUCGAGUAGCUUGCUAUUUGGAUAAGUCAGCGGCGGACGGGUGAGUAACACGUGGGUAAUCUGCCUCGUAGUCUGGGAUAACAAGCCGAAAGGUUUGCUAAUACCGGAUGAGUUCAUGUUAUUGCAUAGUGACAUGAAGAAAGGGGAGACCCGCUAUGAGAUGAGCCCGCGUCCCAUUAGCUAGUUGGUGGGGUAAAGGCCUACCAAGGCGACGAUGGGUAGCCGGCCUGAGAGGGUGGACGGCCACACUGGGACUGAGACACGGCCCAGACUCCUACGGGGGGCAGCAGUAGGGAAUCUUCGGCAAUGGGGGAAACCCUGAUCCAGCAAUGCCGCGUGUGUGACGAAGGCCUUCGGGUUGUAAAGCACUUUUGGCGGGAACGAAACGGCGCUUUCUAAUACAGAGCGCUAAUGACGGUACCCGCAGAAUAAGCACCGGCUAACUACGUG
rnacentral:rRNA from 1 species